GACGAACGCUGGCGGCGUGCCUAAUACAUGCAAGUCGAACGCUGAAGGAGGAGCUUGCUCUUCUGGAUGAGUUGCGAACGGGUGAGUAACGCGUAGGUAACCUGCCUGGUAGCGGGGGAUAACUACUGGAAACGAUAGCUAAUACCGCAUAACAGUAGAUGUUGCAUGACAUUUACUUAAAAGGUGCAAUUGCAUCACUACCAGAUGGACCUGCGUUGUAUUAGCUAGUUGGUGGGGUAACGGCUCACCAAGGCGACGAUACAUAGCCGACCUGAGAGGGUGAUCGGCCACACUGGGACUGAGACACGGCCCAGACUCCUACGGGAGGCAGCAGUAGGGAAUCUUCGGCAAUGGACGGAAGUCUGACCGAGCAACGCCGCGUGAGUGAAGAAGGUUUUCGGAUCGUAAAGCUCUGUUGUAAGAGAAGAACGAGUGUGAGAGUGGAAAGUUCACACUGUGACGGUAGCUUACCAGAAAGGGACGGCUAACUACGUG
rnacentral:rRNA from 1 species